GGAAUUUUGCGCAAUGGAGGAAACUCUGACGCAGCGACGCCGUGUGAGCGAUGAAGGCCUUCGGGUCGUAAAGCUCUGUCAGACGGGAAGAAAAUAUUUAUGGCUAAUAUCCAUAGAUAUUGACGGUACCUUCGGAGGAAGCACCGGCUAACUACGUGCCAGCAGCCGCGGUAAUACGUAGGGUGCAAGCGUUGUUCGGAAUCAUUGGGCGUAAAGCGCGUGUAGGUGGUUAUGCAAGUCAGGUGUGAAAGCCCUCGGCUCAACCGGGGAAGUGCACUUGAAACUAUGUAGCUAGAGGAUGGUAGAGGGAGAUGGAAUUCCUAGUGUAGAGGUGAAAUUCGUAGAUAUUAGGAGGAAUACCAGCGGCGAAGGCGGUCUCCUGGGCCAUUCCUGACACUGAGACGCGAAAGCGUGGGUAGCAAAC
rnacentral:rRNA from 1 species